rnacentral:rRNA from 1 species
UACGUAGGGGGCUAGCGUUGUCCGGAAUCAUUGGGCGUAAAGAGCGUGUAGGCGGCCCGGUAAGUCCGCUGUAAAAGUCAAAGGCUCAACCUUUGAAUGUCAGUGGAUACUGUCGGGCUAGAGUCCGGUAGAGGCGAGUGGAACUCCUGGUGUAGCGGUGGAAUGCGCAGAUAUCGGGAGGAACACCUGUGGCGAAGGCGGCUUUCUGGGCCCUACCUGACGCUGAGACGCGAAAGCGUGGGGAGCGAACCGG